CGGACGGGUGAGUAACACGUGGAUAACCUACCUAUAAGACUGGGAUAACUUCGGGAAACCGGAGCUAAUACCGGAUAAUAUUUUGAACCGCAUGGUUCAAAAGUAAAAGACGGUCUUGCUGUCACUUAUAGAUGGAUCCGCGCUGCAUUAGCUAGUUGGUAAGGUAACGGCUUACCAAGGCAACGAUGCAUAGCCGACCUGAGAGGGUGAUCGGCCACACUGGAACUGAGACACGGUCAAG
rnacentral:rRNA from 1 species